UGCGGGACCGCCUCUUAAAAGGGUAACAGGAGGGGAAGGCUUUAGACGAGGAUCGGAAAAAUGGACAGGUGAACUGUGGAAUCAGCGCGAACAGAAACGCUCGCUGCUAAUGAACUUUCAUAAACAUGGAGUGGAUUAGAAUGAGGAACUGGACUCUUGGGACUCCCACGUGACAAAAUGAAAGUCCCCUCUCUCAGAUUAUCUAAAACACCAAACUGGUUCUCCAAGCCCUGCUGAAAUAUGCUAUCAACCAGUUCAGCCGGAAGUGCUUCUCUGAACAUCCAUGAAGUUCUCUUACAAGACAAAAUGUUGUGCAUGUGCUGACACGGCAGCAGCUAGUAUCAUAUCCUCGGGAAAACAACAACCCUGGAAGUCAUUUGUUCCUGUUGGAGCUGCAGCAGGAUGGAAGCAGGUUGCAUUCCUGAAUCACUGCUGGGGAGAAAGCUAAUAACUGAUUGCAUCAGACUUGACUUGAGCAAGAAACAAACUUUUACUGUGUUAAGUCACUGAGACUUUGGAAUUGCUUUGUACUGCAGCACAGUCUAACCUAUCUUGUAAUAUAGUGUGUCAUUCCUUUCUCUGAACAUAAUAUCUGAAAUCCAGAUUACC